ensembl:lncRNA
GUGUGAUUUUCGCUUAAAUGGCGGGAAUUCUCGAAGAGAAAACGCGUGAUUUUUCGCUUAAAUAGGGGAUUUCCAAAGAGAAAACGUGAUUUUCGGGUGAAAUGGGGGAUUCUCGAAGAGAAAACGCGUGAUUUUCACUUAAAUGGGGGAUUUGCGAAGAGAAAACACGUGAUUUUCGCUUAAAUAAGGGAUUUGCGAAGAGAAAACACGUGAUUUUCGCUUAAAUGGGGGAUUUGCGAAGAUGAAAAUGCGUUAUUUUCGCUUAAAUGGGGGAUUUUCGAAGAGAAAACGCGUGAUUUUCGCUUAAAUGGGGUAUUUCCGAAAUGAAAACGCGUGAUUUUCGCUUAAAUGGGGGAUUUCCGAAGAGAAAACGCGUGAUUUUUGGGUAAAAUGGGGGAUUCUCGAAGAGAAAACGCGUGAUUUUCGCUUAAAUGGGGGAUUCUCGAAGAUGAAAACUCGUGAUUUUUGCUUAAAUGGGGGAUUUGCGAAGAGAAAACGUGUGGUUUUCACUUAAAUGGGGGAUUUGUGAAGAGAAAAUGCGUGAUUUUCGCUUAAAUGGGGGAUUUGCGAAGAGAAAACGCGUGAUUUGUGGCUUAAAUGGGGGAUUUGCGAAGAGAAAACGUGUGAUUUUCGCUUAAAUGGCGGAUUCUCGAAGAGAAAACGCGUGAUUUUCGCUUAAAUAGGGGAUUUCCAAAGAGAAAACGUGAUUUUCGGGUGAAAUGGGGGAUUCUCGAAGAGAAAACGCGUGAUUUUCACUUAAAUGGGGGAUUUGCGAAGAGAAAACACGUGAUUUUCGCUUAAAUAAGGGAUUUGCGAAGAGAAAACACGUGAUUUUCGCUUAAAUGGGGGAUUUGCGAAGAUGAAAAUGCGUUAUUUUCGCUUAAAUGGGGGAUUUUCGAAGAGAAAACGCGUGAUUUUCGCUUAAAUGGGGUAUUUCCGAAGUGAAAACGCGUGAUUUUCGCUUAAAUGGGGGAUUUGCGAAGAGAAAACGUGUGAUUUUUGGGUUAAAUGGGGGAUUCUCAAAGUGAAAACGCGUGAUUUUUGCUUAAAUGGGGGAUUCUCGUAGAGAAAACGCGUGAUUUUCACUUAA